GGGGGCGUAAAUGGUUUCGACGGGGAUCAUGGAUGCCGGAUAAGCGAGUCGAAGACCCAAGCUUCGUUAAAAUCGGGAAAAUUUUAAAAAGAAACGACAAUAAUAGUUUCGCAAUCGCUGCCUAAUUGAGCAGUCGUUCGCCGUAUGUUGCCCACGACAUACGAUACGGGCGUCAUCAAAGUGGGGAACCAGCUUGCCUAAGCUUUGCGGCGAGUGGGAUUUUAUGAAGCUACUGAGGUUCUGACCCUUCCGUUGGGGGCUUAACCGAGGGAAUGUUAAAACAGCGGAUACACUCGUAGAAAUUCUUGCAAACAGGUUUUCGGACAGGGGUUCGACUCCCCUCGCCUCCACCA
rnacentral:tmRNA from 1 species